rnacentral:rRNA from 1 species
UACGUAGGGUGCGAGCGUUGUCCGGAAUUACUGGGCGUAAAGAGUUCGUAGGUGGUUUGUCACGUCGUCUGUGAAAUUCCGGGGCUUAACCUCGGGCGUGCAGGCGAUACGGGCAAUACUUGAGUGCUGUAGGGGAGACUGGAAUUCCUGGUGUAGCGGUGAAAUGCGCAGAUAUCAGGAGGAACACCAAUGGCGAAGGCAGGUCUCUGGGCAGUUACUGACGCUGAGGAGCGAAAGCAUGGGUAGCGAACAGGAUUAGAUA